rnacentral:rRNA from 1 species
AGUAGGGAAUCUUCCGCAAUGGACGAAAGUCUGACGGAGCAACGCCGCGUGAGUGAUGAAGGCUUUCGGGUCGUAAAACUCUGUUGUUAGGGAAGAACAAGUACAAGAGUAACUGCUYGUACCUUGACGGUACCUAACCAGAAAGCCACGGCUAACUACGUGCCAGCAGCCGCGGUAAUACGUAGGUGGCAAGCGUUAUCCGGAAUUAUUGGGCGUAAAGCGCGCGCAGGCGGUUUCUUAAGUCUGAUGUGAAAGCCCACGGCUCAACCGUGGAGGGUCAUUGGAAACUGGGGAACUUGAGUGCAGAAGAGAAAAGCGGAAUUCCACGUGUAGCGGUGAAAUGCGUAGAGAUGUGGAGGAACACCAGUGGCGAAGGCGGCUUUUUGGUCUGUAACUGACGCUGAGGCGCGAAAGCGUGGGGAGCAAACAGGAUUA